GGGGGAGCACUUAGAACCCCUGGAACGGAGUGUUAAUAGUCGUACUUUUGGCCGAGUGCGACGGUUAGUGAAUC
rfam:Prevotella sp. CAG:1058 genomic scaffold, scf221